rnacentral:rRNA from 1 species
UACGUAGGGGGCGAGCGUUGUCCGGAUUCAUUGGGUUUAAAGGGUACGUAGGUGGCUGAUUAAGUCAGUGGUGAAAACCUGCCGCUUAACGGUAGGCGUGCCAUUGAUACUGAUUGGCUUGAGUCCAGUUGAGGUAGGCGGAAUGUGUAGUGUAGCGGUGAAAUGCUUAGAUAUUACACAGAACUCCGAUUGCGAAGGCAGCUUACUAAACUGACACUGACGCUGAGGUACGAAAGCGUGGGUAGCGAAC